UACGAAGGGGGCUAGCGUUGCUCGGAAUCACUGGGCGUAAAGAGUGUGUAGGCGGUGCUCUAAGUUCGGUGUGAAAUCUCCUGGCUCAACUGGGAGGGUGCGCCGGAAACUGGAGUGCUUGAGCGUGGGAGAGGAAAGUGGAAUUCCUGGUGUAGCGGUGAAAUGCGUAGAUAUCAGGAGGAACACCUGUGGUGUAGACGCUUUCUGGACCAUAGCUGACGCUGAGACACGAAAGCGUGGGUAGCAAACAGG
rnacentral:rRNA from 1 species